UAGGGAAUCUUCGGCAAUGGACGAAAGUCUGACCGAGCAACGCCGCGUGAGUGAAGAAGGUUUUCGGAUCGUAAAACUCUGUUGUUAGAGAAGAACAAGGACGUUAGUAACUGAACGUCCCCUGACGGUAGCUAACCAGAAAGCCACGGCUAACUACGUGCCAGCAGCCGCGGUAAUACGUAGGUGGCAAGCGUUGUCCGGAUUUAUUGGGCGUAAAGCGAGCGCAGGCGGUUUCUUAAGUCUGAUGUGAAAGCCCCCGGCUCAACCGGGGAGGGUCAUUGGAAACUGGGAGACUUGAGUGCAGAAGAGGAGAGUGGAAUUCCAUGUGUAGCGGUGAAAUGCGUAGAUAUAUGGAGGAACACCAGUGGCGAAGGCGGCUCUCUGGUCUGUAACUGACGCUGAGGCUCGAAAGCGUGGGGAGCAAACAGG
rnacentral:rRNA from 1 species